rnacentral:rRNA from 1 species
CCUACGGGAGGCAGCAGUGGGGAAUAUUGGACAAUGGGGGCAACCCUGAUCCAGCCAUGCCGCGUGUGUGAAGAAGGCCCUCGGGUUGUAAAGCACUUUCAGUGAGGAAGAACGCCUGGUGGUUAAUACCCAUCAGGAAAGACAUCACUCACAGAAGAAGCACCGGCUAACUCCGUGCCAGCAGCCGCGGUAAUACGGAGGGUGCGAGCGUUAAUCGGAAUCACUGGGCGUAAAGCGCGCGUAGGUGGCUUGAUAAGCCGGUUGUGAAAGCCCCGGGCUCAACCUGGGAACGGCAUCCGGAACUGUCAAGCUAGAGUGCAGGAGAGGAAGGUAGAAUUCCCGGUGUAGCGGUGAAAUGCGUAGAGAUCGGGAGGAAUACCAGUGGCGAAGGCGGCCUUCUGGACUGACACUGACACUGAGGUGCGAAAGCGUGGGUAGCAAACAGGAUUAGAUACCCGGGUAGUC